CAUACGUACAUACAAGAGUCCGUAAGGCCCAGUUCGAUACUGUAAUCACUAUUCUGCAAUCUAACACCGCAAUCUAACACUACUGUACCAGAAGUCACUAUCAGAAGUCACUAUGAUGUUCUUCACACUUGCUUUACUUGCUGUAGAUAUUGCUGAAGACAGAACUGACACUCCAGAGACAGAGGCAAUUGUAUGUUGGUUUCUUGCCCAAGGGAACUUAUGUAUGUGGCCCUCCCGCACUUGAACUCUGACCUAAAGGUCCCGGAUGUUGCCAAUCUCCAACUGCACACUCUAACCAAUUGAGAUACAUACAUACAUACACACAAAUACAUACACAUACAUCUCGCAAGACAUCAACAGGUUGUUCCUAUGCAAGCAUGUACAUAUGUGCAUCUCUGCUUUUAACUCUCCUUCCAUAACCAUGCUCAUAUCACAGUCACAUUACAUGUGAUGAUAUUUGGCUUCUUGUUGAAGGAACCCAAAGUAUAGGUUCUCUUGUCAUCAAUAAAGUUAUGGAACACUCUCAUCGCAUGGGGGCAAACUAGAAGAGCGGUGGAGAGGACCCUUAGAGGUAGUGAAGAUCACUUCGAAGGGACGAUAUCAAUUGAAAUCCCAGUCUGGGACAGUAAUGGCAAAACUCAUUCAUGGAACUCUACUGAAAGAAUACAGACAGUGCAUGGGUGGUGAAAGUAAAGACAACCAAAGCAAUCAAACUGAUGGUGGAAUAACAAGUGACAACUCACUACCAAGCAAACAGUCACAGCAAUGCCAGAAUGAGGUAUAUAGAGAUGAAGUCGACGACUAUCCUCUACCAUCUCCUCUCCCAUGUUUGUGCCUGAUGCGACUCUAUUACCCCACUCCCUGAUAAGAAAGUACUCCUUGCAAUGGGUGACCCUCCAUCCUUGCUGCCACCUGUGUCUCCACCAUCACCUCCUCCUGUGUUGCAACCUAAGUCUCCAUCGAUACCUCCUCAUGUGUUGCCAUCUGUGCCUGCACCUGAUUUGCCAUCAAGGAGUAGAAGACGAAAGCAAGUAAGUCUCUGUGCACAUGUCGUGAAAGUACAAAGGCAGAAGGUAGCAAGAAUUGAUGUGAACCCAAACAGCCCCAUCGAUGUGGAUGACUGCCAGGUUUCCAUGCAACCACAAAAUCCAAAGCAAUAGUUACAAGAGCUCGGAUUGGACAAUGGGGAUAGAAAGACUAUUCAGUCACCAACGGGUUGGCUGAAUGACAAUGUCAUCAACGCAGCACAGCUAUUACUGCAGAAAGCCAAUCCAGCUAUGCCAGGCCUCCAAGAUGUCGCUUACGGGUUGACUUUGUCAUUUCAAGUGCAGCCUCAAGAGUUUGUACAGGUACUGCAUGAUGGACAUGCACAUUGGUUGACUGUGUCCAACAUUGGACUGCAACACUCUCACGCACACAUGUUCGAUAGCUUACGUUCAGCUGCAUCUUCGAGUUUAAAACUACAGAUCUCCAGCCUUUUGUGACAAAAAAAACCAAAUUACCCUGGAGUACAUGGAUGUUCAGCGACAAGUGGAAGGAGCUGACUGUGGUCUGUUUUAGAUAGCAUUCGCUACUGCGUUGGUUUCUGGACAACAGCCUGGACAGCUGGUGUUUGACCAAAAGCAAAUGCGAACACAUCUACUGCAAUGUUUAGAAGCUAGUGAAAUGUUAUCGUUUCCCGUGAAGAAGAAGUGCACGAUACAAAUGAACGCAAUUCAGAAAGUAAAAGCGUACUGUCUGUGCCUCAUGCAGUCCUUCACCAACUCUGAUUAGAUAAAAUGCUCUACCUGCAAGGAGUGGUAUUACAGUGACACAUGUGUCAAUGUGUCCAAAAUCUUGCUGCACCCAAGAAGGCCAUGGAGCUGUAACAAAAGCAAUCCUGCUUGAUUGAACACCUAGACAUUAUUGCUGACUUGAAAUAAUAGUAUCUCAAUGGGAAAACAUGAGCACAUUUAUACUGAA